AGGACUAUACUUUCAGGGAUCAUUUCUAUAGUUUCUGACUUGAGAAAUGUGUUUCUAGAGUGUAUGGUUUCGCCAACCACGAUGAUUAGUUGUGAUAUUCCCUUGUGAGCCAUGAAUCUGAUGGAGAACCUUGUUUAUUAUAUAUGUUCUCUGUCAUUGAUGAGUUGUUCUUUGCCUUUCUUGGGGAGCAAUGAAGAAGGGAAUAUUUUCAGAGUGGU
rnacentral:snoRNA from 1 species